AAUCAACGCUGGCGGCGUGCCUCAGACAUGCAAGUCGAACGCGAAAUUUCCCUUCGGGGAGAAAGUAGAGUGGCGCACGGGUGAGUAACACGUAGGUAAUUUGCCUUCGGGUGGGGAAGUAACAGCCGGAAACGGCUGCUAAUACCGCAUAAUGCAGCGGCUCGACAUCGAGACAGUUGUUAAAGCGGGGGAGUCGCAAGACCUCGCGCCUGAAGAGAAGCCUGCGGCAGAUUAGCUAGUUGGUAAGGUAAUGGCUUACCAAGGCAACGAUCUGUAACCGGCCUGGGAGGGCGGUCGGUCACACUGACACUGACAUACGGGUCAGACU
rnacentral:rRNA from 1 species